rnacentral:tRNA from 3 species
GCGGGGGUGCCCGAGCCUGGCCAAAGGGGGCGGACUUAAGAUCCGCUGCCGCAGGGCUACGCGGGUUCGAAUCCCGUCCCCCGCACCA